rnacentral:tRNA from 1 species
GAUCUCGUAGCUCAGCUGGUAGAGCAUCUGACUUUUAAUCAGAGGGUCCCGGGUUCGAGCCCCGGCGAGAUCA